ACCAGUGACACUGGGAGACUAGGGGACUCUGGCUGGGACGCAUGGGGACACUGGGAAAAUAGGGGUCACUUGAAGACAUGGGGACACAGACACCAGGGACACAGACACUAGAGACACUGGCUGGGGGACAUUGAGACAUGGGGACAAGGAGACACCAGGGCCACAGACACUAGGGACACUAGCUUGGAGACAUGGGGACAUUGAGACACUUGAGGCACUGGGAGACAUGGAGGCACUAGGAGACAUGGGGACAGUGAGACACUGGCAGACUGGGGGCACAGGGAGACUAGGGGGCACUGAGACACCAGCAACAUGGCUCGGAGACAUGGGGACACUGGAAAACUGUGUCUGUGUCAUAAUGUCUCCCAAUGUCCCUUAGUGUCUCAGUGUAUGUCUCCUUGCAGCCUUUCCCUCAUCCCUUACUUCCCUGAGCUGUAGGCUGUCUCUGCAGGGUGGGAGUUGCUGUCUGGACUCUCUGUAGCUGCUCCCCUGCAGAUCAGUGAGUAUAGGUAGGCAGGGAGGGAUAUGCUGCAACUUCCUAUCCCUGCCUGUCUCCACAUACAGCGACCCCUACUGGCCAGUGCUGGUAUUGCAUAGUAAUCUCUUGUUUAUACUGAGAAAAAUACCAGCAUUUGUAUUGCCAGUAUCACUGUAAUAUUGGCACCAGCCAGGCAGCCUCAAAUACUGGCUGUGCCAAUAAAAUAAAAGCCAGGUGGAAUCCCUAAGAGUAGUGUGUGGGAAAAAAAAAAAUGUAAAAAAAAAUUAUUAUUU